ACAUACAAAUUAUAAUGUUGCAAGUCGUUUUGUCUUUCUCUCUCUCUGGUGUACAUCCUGCUCCCCGUUUGGGGCAGCUAUUUUUAUGGGGCACUGAAGAUCGCCUUGGAGAACAGAAGCGCACAACAGAGCACCAAGGAGAUGACGCUGACGAUGCCGAUGAUGAUUGUGUUGUUGAUGAUGAUGCCAAAAGUGAGCAAAACUUAUGGCUCCAUUCUACGGUUUGUGACAUUUUUGGCAAUGCCAAGAAACAACCACUGCAACGCCCCCUCAUGCGGUUCCGCCCUGGCCAGUUGAAUAUUAUAAAAAUGAUGUUUUUAUUUAUGGUCCAUUUGGAAUUUUGACAGGCCCCUGCUAUGGGCAAUAACCCCAACAAGCAGCAACAACAACAACACCAUCUUCUCUCGCGGGGGGGAGAAACACUUUUAUCAAGAAGCUGCGAAUCUUGGCACUCUCCGGCUGGGCGAGAUUUUGAUGAACUCUUGUCGGAAUUGUCAAUGAAAUGUCUCAUAAAGUCUCAACGGGAAUCUUUAAGAUCUAAGAAUGAGUUACGAGUUUAUAAGCAGCCCUAAAAGCUACGCUUUUGUCGAACUUCUAUGGCUUGUUAGCUGAACCUUUACCAUGAUCACAUUUGCCCAACUAGAGCACGAAGCGAUCAUGAUCUUUGGCCCGAUCAUCGAACCUUUUGGCAGUUGUAUCUGUGUUCGUAUCUGCAUCUGUUUUCGCAUCAUUUCUACUCCACACCUUGCUCAUUGAUUGAUCACCCAUCCACCUUUAACUGAUCUUCAGCCACAGUUGAACAUUUGGCAAAGUUCAAAACCCUGUUCGGGGUGUUCCUUCAGAGCAGAUCGGAGGCAACGUUGAUCAUUCAUCGAGCUGAACGUCAACAACUAAGUUGUCGCUUGCAUUUCGUUUCAAUUUGGUUGAGAACUGAGAGCACUUGGCCAUUUCGGGGCCAGCAGGGUUGUCGUUUGCGACGUCGUCGUCGUUGUCGGGCUGACAAAAAUAACUCAAAAAUGUCAUUCGCCCAUCGAAUUUUAACAAACGAGCGACUGUGGCAGAGAGCACAUCGGCGGAGAGAAGUAGAGUGGAGACAUCGUCGUCGGCUCGCCCCAGAAGAGGACGCUAAAAAUAAUGCUCUGGCACUUUUUUAGUUGCUGUUGAAGCAGUUGUUGCCGCUGCUGUUGAUGAUGAUGCCGAUGCAUUUUAUAUAGAUAGAUUGCAUAGAUAUAUCUCUUCGUUCUCACUCUGUGUGUCUCUCUAUAUAUAAAUUCAGUUUAAUUUGGACUAAGCAACUGCGUAAAAUGCGCCACCACGCCAACGCCACAGACAUUGGGUGCGAUUCCCCCUCAUCAAGAGUCGCCAGAUCCCACAGAUCCGACAGAUCCAAGAGAGAUCCUCUGUUGGCUGGCUCACUGGAUGGAUGAUAAACUCGUGCAUACAUAGUUAGGUGACUUUUGGUGUUGGCGCUGCUAAUGAUGCAGCUAAGGAAACGCUUUAUAAUUUCUCUUUAAAACCAGAAACAUGUGAUGCAAAUGAUGGACCACAAGAACAAA